GACGAACGCUGGCGGCGUGCCUAAUACAUGCAAGUAGAACGCAGUUGCGAACGGGUGAGUAACGCGUAGGUAACUGCCUCAUAGCGGGGGAUAACUAUUGGAAACGAUAGCUAAUACCGCAUACUGUGAAAUGGACCUGCGUUGUAUUAGCUAGUUGGUGAGGUAAAGGCUCACCAAGGCGACGCUACAUAGCCGACCUGAGAGGUGGGUGGGCCAAACUGGGACGUAGAAAACGCCCAGAAUCCGACGGGUAGGAGCAAGAGGGAAUGUUCGGAAAUGGACGGAAGUCGUACCGAGGAACGGCGCGGUAGUGAAGAAGGUUUUCGGAUCGGAAAGCUCUGUUGUGAGAGAAGCGGUAACGAAACAGAAAGCGACGGCUAACUACGUGCCAGAAGCCGCGGUAAUUC
rnacentral:rRNA from 1 species